rnacentral:rRNA from 1 species
AUUGAACGCUGGCGGCAUGCCUAACACAUGCAAGCGAACGGUAACGCGGAGAGCUUGCUCUCUGGCGACGAGUGGCGGACGGGUGAGGUAAUACUUAGGAAUCUACCCAGUAGUGGGGGACAACAUUCGGAAACGGAUGCUAAUACCGCAUACGCACUACGGUGGAAAGUGGGGGAACCUUCGGGCCUCACGCUAUUGGAUGAGCCUAAGUCGGAUUAGCUUGUUGGUGAGGUAAUGGCUCACCAAGGCGACGAUCCGUAGCUGGUCUGAGAGGACGAUCAGCCACACUGGGACUGAGACACGGCCCAGACUCCUACGGGAGGCAGCAGUGGGGAAUAUUGGACAAUGGGCGCAAGCCUGAUCCAGCAAUGCCGCGUGUGUGAAGAAGGCCUGCGGGUUGUAAAGCACUUUCAGUAGAGAAGAAAAGCCUAGGGAUAAUACCCCUGAGUCUUGACGUAACCUACAGAAGAAGCACCGGCUAACUCCGUG